rnacentral:rRNA from 1 species
AGUGAACGCUGGCGGUAGGCCUAACACAUGCAAGUCGAACGGCAGCACAGUAAGAGCUUGCUCUUACGGGUGGCGAGUGGCGGACGGGUGAGGAAUACAUCGGAAUCUACUUUUUCGUGGGGGAUAACGUAGGGAAACUUACGCUAAUACCGCAUACGACCUACGGGUGAAAGCAGGGGAUCUUCGGACCUUGCGCGAUUGAAUGAGCCGAUGUCGGAUUAGCUAGUUGGCGGGGUAAAGGCCCACCAAGGCGACGAUCCGUAGCUGGUCUGAGAGGAUGAUCAGCCACACUGGGGCUGAGACACGGUCCAGACUCCUACGGGAGGACGCAGUGGGGAAUAUUGGACAAUGGGCGCAAGCCUGAUCCAGCCAUACCGCGUGGGUGAAGAAGGCCUUCGGGUGGUAAAGCCCUUUUGUUGGGAAAGAAAAGCAGCAUGUUAAUACCACGCUGUUCUGACGGUACCCAAAGAAUAAGCACCGGCUAACUUCGUG